rnacentral:misc_RNA from 1 species
GUGCCGUUUCCGUGCUUCAUAGGUAAAAAAUAACUUUACCUAGAAGAAUCGAGGACUGGUAACUAGAUAUUAGAUUAGUAAUAUCUAGAAAAGUUUAAUCAAUAUUAUUGCCAAAUCAAAUUCUAACAAUUAGGUCAUUAUUCCUCUUUUUUUUGUUCCCCCUUCUGUAAGGAGAACAACUGUAAUAUCUGGCCUAUAAGUGCUUACUGCUCCCCUGAGUAGUAAAGCAGUUACAAAUCAAGAUGAUUAGUGAUCCUUGUUGCUUCAUUCUUUUAUAGAUCAAUAAAAAUCUUCAUAUGGAUUUUUUUAUUGGUUUUGUCACAAAAAUCCCUAUAUUUGUAACUUGCAGGCAAAGAAAAGGAAACCAACAAAGAGAUAUCACAUGAGAGAUUUAUGCAGUUUGGGUUUUAGCAUAUGUCCAAAAGUCAAGUAUGACACAAAUUUCAACACUAAAACCAGAGACCAGAGAUUACAAGUAGUAUCUCUCUUAAUUUCUUUUCUUGUCACAAGGCCAAUAAAUCAAUCUAUAGAAAGCUUUAUUUGGGUUAACCGACCAAAUUGGGGUAUAGCCAUAAUUCACAUCCAAUCUAACAGUUAUUGCAAAUUAGGGCACAAACACCUUAUGUCUAUAUUUAUCUUCAAUUCUAUUGUGCAGUCUAAGUUCUAGAUUAGUUACUAUGGCCGUUACUGAGUUUUUCCCAUAGUAAUCGCCCAAAUGCAUGUCCAGGGAAUCAAUGAUGGAUGGCCUGAAGGUUGUAGGUUAAAAUAUUAAAUGAUCGAAAUACUAUUUGCAAGACCUCAAAAGAGAAGAAUGAUAGUAUUCAAUAGUAAAGUGAUUCAUAUUUCCACUAUCAAUUGUCUGUAUCCUUUGCAGAAGAAUGGAACAAGCUAUACUAAUCAGAGGGGUAUAAGAAAAGGAAGUUCUACCUUUACAAGUAUAAUUGCAAUGAAAAUGCAAAAGCAAAAUUCAAAAAAUAGUCCCUUGAAACAACGAAAGCAUCAUCCUAAAUUCAAGAAUGUAAUCCAAUACUAUGCAGCAAUAAAAUAAAAGAGCCACUAACAUUCUUUUUCAAAAUCUCAUGUAAAAGUGGAUAUGGGCUGACCU